UACGUGGGGGGUAAGCGUUGUUCGGAAUUACUGGGCGUAAAGGGCGCGUAGGCGGCCAGCACAAGUCAGUUGUGAAAUCUCCGAGCUUAACUCGGAAAGGUCAACUGAUACUGUGCGGCUAGAGUGCGGAAGGGGCAACUGGAAUUCUUGGUGUAGCGGUGAAAUGCGUAGAUAUCAAGAGGAACACCUGCGGCGAAGGCGGGUUGCUGGGCCGACACUGACGCUGAGGCGCGAAAGCCAGGGGAGCGAACGGG
rnacentral:rRNA from 1 species